UAAACGAUGAGUGCUAGGGUGGGGGGUUCCACCCUCUGUGUUGAAGUUAACACAUUUUGCACUCCGCCUGGGGAGUACGACCGCAAGGUUGAAACUCAAAGGAAUUGACGGGGGCCCGCACAAGCAGUGGAGCAUGUGGUUUAAUUCUAAGCAACGCGAAGAACCUUACCAGGUCUUGACAUCCUCUGACCACUCUAGAGAUAGAGCUUUCCCCUUCGGGGGACAGAGUGACAGGUGGUGCAUGGUUGUCGUCAGCUCUUGUCGUGAGAUGUUGGGUUAAGUCCCGCAACGAGCGCAACCCUUGACCUUAGUUGCCAGCAUUCAGUUGGGCACACAAGGGGACUGCCGGUGACAAACCGGAGGAAGGUGGGGAUGACAUCAAAUCAUCAUGCCCCUUAUGACCUGGGCUACACACGUGCUACAAUGGAUGGGACAAAGGGUUGCGAAACCCCGAGGCCAAGCCAAUCCCAAAAAGCCAUUCUCAGUUCGGAUUGUAGGCUGCAACUCUCCUACAUGAAGCCGGAAUUGCUAGUAAUCGCGGAUCAGCAUGCCGCGGUGAAUACGUUCCCGGGCCUUGUACACACCGCCCGUCACACCACGAGAGUUUGUAACACCCCGAAGUCGGUGGGGGGAACCCCUUUUGGGAGCCAGCCGCCGAAGGUGGGGACAGAUGAUUGGUGGUGAAGUCGUAACAA
rnacentral:rRNA from 1 species